UGCGAAGGGGGCUAGCGUUGUUCGGAAUUACUGGGCGUAAAGCGCGCGUAGGCGGACAUUUAAGUCAGGGGUGAAAUGCCGGGGCUCAACCUCGGAACUGCCUUUGAUACUGGGUGUCUGGAGUUCGGGAGAGGUGAGUGGAAUUCCGAGUGUAGAGGUGAAAUUCGUAGAUAUUCGGAGGAACACCAGAAGCGAAGGCGGCUCACUGGCCCGAUACUGACGCUGAGGCGCGAAAGCGUGGGGAGCAAACAGG
rnacentral:rRNA from 1 species